UUUGGAAUAUGCAUUAAUAAAUA
rnacentral:siRNA from 1 species